AGCGAACGCUGGCGGCAGGCCUAACACAUGCAAGUCGAACGAACUCUUCGGAGUUAGUGGCGGACGGGUGAGUAACACGUGGGAACGUGCCUUUAGGUUCGGAAUAACUCAGGGAAACUUGUGCUAAUACCGAAUGUGCCCUUCGGGGGAAAGAUUUAUCGCCUUUAGAGCGGCCCGCGUCUGAUUAGCUAGUUGGUGAGGUAAAGGCUCACCAAGGCGACGAUCAGUAGCUGGUCUGAGAGGAUGAUCAGCCACAUUGGGAACGAGACACGGCCCAAACGACGAAGGGAGGCAGCAGUAGGGAAUAUGGGGGAAUGGGCGCAAGCCGGAUCAAGCAAGACAGCGUGAGUGAAGAAGGUCUUAGGGUUGGAAAACACGUGGGGGGGGAAAGAAAAGAAGCGGGGGAAUACACUGAGGGUCGGAAGGGACCCAAAGAAGAAGCAACGGAGAAAUUAGGG
rnacentral:rRNA from 1 species